AAACAAUUUCCCACAUUAUACACCACUUACUGAACCCUAAUGUCACAUGCGCACAGCCUCCGUCCCACCCUCAGUCUCUCUCACUGAAACUCGUCCAUUCUCUUUCUUUGCCGGAAAAAAAAAUUUCUCACUUUCUCAUACCCAUUUUUUUGAACUAUAGCCAUCGAUAGCUUGGAGGCCUGAAAUGCUAUAUUUCUGGCACUGCGGAUUUGAAGCAUUCUGCAAUUCUGGUCUCUAAUGUUUUGGUAUGUAUUUUCUAAAAUAUUUUAUUUUGGGUAUUGUAAAGUUCAAAUCUUGUGUUGAUUUACUGUUCCUUCUAUAGAGUUUUUAUUUUAUUUUUAAUUUUCACAGAAUACAGGUCAUAAAAUUUAUUUAUAUUCUCGAAAGUGUGUGUCAAUUCUUGGUUCCUUCUGUUAGAGUUUCAUUUGGCCAAGUUAGGUUUGUGUAUAAUAAAGUGGUUUAUUAUCACAACAGAUUUCAUUUAUGUUGCAUAUUUCAAUUGGUUUUUCUUAUUUAUGUUCUUAAGUAUGUGAUUUGGAUACCUUAAAGCCUCAAAAAUUUAUUAUCUUAUUCAAUGGUAAGGUUAUGAAUGCAUUUGUCUAUUGGAUAUAUCUUAUUAUCUUUCAUCACCUGUAACUAUAAUUUCAGUGGAACUUUUUCUUUUCAAUUACUCAAAUAUGUAUUUUUGGGUCGUGAAUAUGUAUUUACUUUUCUUGACGGUUCAGUAAGUGUUGUUUGUUUGUAGGCUAAAUGAAAAAUGAUACACUGGUAAUUAUAAUUUCACUGCCUAAUAGGAAAAAAAUUGUUUCUUUUCAUUCUUAUGGGAUUUUGGUGUUGCAAAGUUUGUAUCUUAUUGCUUAAUACGGUAUUAAUGAUUUUUAAGGCAUCUUAGCUUCUAUACAUAUUCUAUUUUUCUUGGGCUUCGAAGUUUAUUAACUAUUUUUUGUAGAUGCCAAGCUAGUUGCUUUCAAGCUACUCACCUUGUAUAUGCGACUUGAGUAUUGUCAUGCCUCUAGUAAAAAGGUUUUUCUUGUUUAAAGUCAUUUCACACUUUUUUUUUCAUUUAUUUAUCUUCCUUUACUAAAGAAAUCGAUAGGAGGUGAUCCAUGUAUUUGAGAACUGAAGCGAAGAUGAUGAUCAACAUUACGUGAAGCAAGUUCCUUUCUAUAUUUUAUUUAUUAUGAAAGCAAAAACAAUUCUCUCUUUUUAUCGUUCAAAUUAAAGAAACCUCCCUUCUAUUCGAGAGCGAAAUAUACUCCUGAAAAGUUUGAUUAGGUAUGUUGAGAAGAUGGAUCUUAAUCUCUUCAUCAUAAGGGAAGCUGUACUUGAUUAGAAUAUAGUUGUCACAGUCUUUUGGCUAACUUUCAGAAACUAAAAGGGGAUAUGGCGUUGUAGGAGGUGGAAGUGGAUGUACUUGCAUCCCAUGUAUAUCAUAUCAACCUGAUGUACACUAAUAUAUCCUUGUUUGUAGAAAUUAAUAUUUACUAUUAUUUUUACAUUCUUAUUUUUUAACAUUUGGUUUGAUCUAUGCAGGAUACGAAGCUCCUAACUUGAGGUACUUAAUCUCUAUUUUCUUCCUACAUUAGGACAAGAUUUUAUCUUGUGUACUUGUUAUUAUAGAACUUAUUGAUUUUGCAGAUAUUUCUUCCCUGUUUUAGGCGUAUGGUUGAUAUCCUCGUGUACCUAACUUGGUAGAUUCCUACAUAGCCAUGUCAAAUUAAUGUAAAGCCAUAUAAUGUUGAGAUUCUAACUUGCUAGUUUCUUGAGUUGGGAUUUGAUAGUGGUUGUAGAAUCUUUAAUGAAAUCAGAGGUGGAUUUCAUAGGCUUGGUUUUGUUCUUGGCAGAAUUAGGAGGAAGUUUAAUAAGCUUGGUUUGGUUCUUGGAUAAACUUGCUUUGGAUUUAAUAAUCUUGGCCGUAUUUUUUUUAGGGAGAUAGUUUGGUACAAGUAGUUUUCUUCUUAAUAACUGGCUCACCUUCUUCUUCUACUCUGUAGCAUUGAUCUUCUUCUACCAAAACUUUUUGGUUGGUUUGCAGAGUUAAAUUAUGAAGUGAAGAAAACCAAGAGAAGAAGCAAAAACAAUACCUUUUUCAGACUGAAAUCUUGGAGUGGAGUCAUAUGUUGAAUAUGUAAAUCUAUGUUUGUUUUUCUUUGGAGAUCUCAUAUGAGGCUUUUCCAAGAAUUCAAAGCCUUAGAUGGAUCUAGAUUUCAGGAAAAGAAAUGCAUUUAUUGGGAUGAAAAUACACACUUCUGAGUGUGUAAAAAUUUUUUGUGAAGUAUACGAAAUAAGGAAAAGACUUUUAAUGCAAAGCACACAACAUUAGAUCAGUCACAUGGAGCCAGACGUAGUAUUCUAUUUCUCUAUGCAGUUUCACUUCUUCCUCUCCCUUUCAGAUGAUUUUGGUUUUAUUUUAGUACUGUUGAAGUUUCAUCUUAUAUGGAUUUUUCACCUUUUGAUUAGUUUGAUUUUACUAUGUCCUCAAAUACAAG
rnacentral:lncRNA from 1 species